rnacentral:rRNA from 1 species
UACGAAGGGGGCUAGCGUUGUUCGGAAUUACUGGGCGUAAAGGGCGCGUAGGCGGUCCUGAUCGUCGGAUGUGAAAGGCCUGGGCUCAACCUGGGAAUGGCAUCCAAUACGGCGGGACUGGAGUGUGGGAGAGGUUGGUGGAAUUCCCAGUGUAGAGGUGAAAUUCGUAGAUAUUGGGAAGAACACCGGUGGCGAAGGCGGCCAACUGGACCACAACUGACGCUGAGGCGCGAAAGCGUGGGGAGCAAACAGG